rnacentral:lncRNA from 1 species
UCUCCAUGAACCGUGUAAGCUAUAACCAUGACAACCACAUGUCAAAAAACACCAAACCCCGACAGCACGACCAAUCAAAUGCCACUGGCAAGAACCAAUCUUGCAAGUAAAAAACCCAUUCCCAAUCAUAUCAACGGUUUUCAUCAACUCCACGUGGCCGAGGUUAAGCAUAAAAUCAGGAUCUUCCUCCACGCCUCCAUUCUGCCCUCUUUUUCUUUUACGUCAAAUGGCAUGCCUUUCUUGUUUCUAGCUCUAAAAAAUAAAUCGUGCCAUUAUCAAACCGUUUUCCGAAUUAUCCAUUGACAAUAUCCACGUAAGACUAAACAUAAGACGUAUAUAAAUACCCAUUUGGGCCCUCAAGAAACACACGCCAAAAAGGAGCAUAAACGGAAGAAAGAAAAAAAAGAGAGAGAGAGAGAGCUUUGAGUUUCAGAGAUGGAGAGAAAGAGAAAUAACCAGAAAGUUUCUUGGACUAGAGGGAAGUGUUUAGGCAAAGGCUCCUUUGGAACUGCAACAUUGGCAACCAAUGAAUCCAACG